rnacentral:rRNA from 2 species
AUUGGUGCUUGCAUCAUGAUUUACAUUUGAGUGAGUGGCGAACUGGUGAGUAACACGUGGGAAACCUGCCCAGAAGCGGGGGAUAACACCUGGAAACAGAUGCUAAUACCGCAUAACAACUUGGACCGCAUGGUCCGAGCUUGAAAGAUGGCUUCGGCUAUCACUUUUGGAUGGUCCCGCGGCGUAUUAGCUAGAUGGUGGGGUAACGGCUCACCAUGGCAAUGAUACGUAGCCGACCUGAGAGGGUAAUCGGCCACAUUGGGACUGAGACACGGCCCAAACUCCUACGGGAGGCAGCAGUAGGGAAUCUUCCACAAUGGACGAAAGUCUGAUGGAGCAACGCCGCGUGAGUGAAGAAGGGUUUCGGCUCGUAAAACUCUGUUGUUAAAGAAGAACAUAUCUGAGAGUAACUGUUCAGGUAUUGACGGUAUUUAACCAGAAAGCCACGGCUAACUACGUGCCAGCAGCCGCGGUAAUACGUAGGUGGCAAGCGUUGUCCGGAUUUAUUGGGCGUAAAGCGAGCGCAGGCGGUUUUUUAAGUCUGAUGUGAAAGCCUUCGGCUCAACCGAAGAAGUGCAUCGGAAACUGGGAAACUUGAGUGCAGAAGAGGACAGUGGAACUCCAUGUGUAGCGGUGAAAUGCGUAGAUAUAUGGAAGAACACCAGUGGCGAAGGCGGCUGUCUGGUCUGUAACUGACGCUGAGGCUCGAAAGUAUGGGUAGCAAACAGGAUUAGAUACCCUGGUAGUCCAUACCGUAAACGAUGAAUGCUAAGUGUUGGAGGGUUUCCGCCCUUCAGUGCUGCAGCUAACGCAUUAAGCAUUCCGCCUGGGGAGUACGGCCGCAAGGCUGAAACUCAAAGGAAUUGACGGGGGCCCGCACAAGCGGUGGAGCAUGUGGUUUAAUUCGAAGCUACGCGAAGAACCUUACCAGGUCUUGACAUACUAUGCAAAUCUAAGAGAUUAGACGUUCCCUUCGGGGACAUGGAUACAGGUGGUGCAUGGUUGUCGUCAGCUCGUGUCGUGAGAUGUUGGGUUAAGUCCCGCAACGAGCGCAACCCUUAUUAUCAGUUGCCAGCAUUAAGUUGGGCACUCUGGUGAGACUGCCGGUGACAAACCGGAGGAAGGUGGGGAUGACGUCAAAUCAUCAUGCCCCUUAUGACCUGGGCUACACACGUGCUACAAUGGAUGGUACAACGAGUUGCGAACUCGCGAGAGUAAGCUAAUCUCUUAAAGCCAUUCUCAGUUCGGAUUGUAGGCUGCAACUCGCCUACAUGAAGUCGGAAUCGCUAGUAAUCGCGGAUCAGCAUGCCGCGGUGAAUACGUUCCCGGGCCUUGUACACACCGCCCGUCACACCAUGAGAGUUUGUAACACCCAAAGUCG